GAUAGCUUUCAAGUCAUGCAAAAGUGCGACGAAGUAAGAGUACUAAAAACUUCAUGGAGACAAUAUGAUUUUCUCGAGCAUUCUGCUAAUGGCUGUAAUAUAUUUUUCGAAAAUUACCCAAACCAUGUGUGAGGAAUGCAUACAAGAAAUAGCUACCGACAGAUUGAGUGAUUGCUGCAGCAUGCCGCCACCCUUCCCAAUAGACAGUUCACGUGAAUGCUUCAGGAAAGCUCGACGAACUCAUUCUGCUGCUAACUACGUCAUACAUCUUUGCCGGAUGGAAUGCUAUUAUACAGAAUUAGGAAUUAUGAGUGAUGAUACGCUUUACAUGGAUAAAGUGAAAGAAUAUCUGGAGAAAGUAGAGGACCCUGCACGAGAAUUUUACGAAACUGUCUUUCAAACCUGUGAUGAUGAGCUCAUGACGAGAAAUAACAACUUCGCAGUAGCAAUAUGCAGUUCACAUGCAGCCUUACUCGAGCAAUGCGUAGAAAAGAAAAAGAAACCGCAAUGCCCAAUGGAAUAUUCCAAAGAGAGCGAACUUUGCAUCAAAGUGAAAAAAGGAUACAAAUUUUGCCGGCAGUGAAACGAGUCGUAUAUAUUCAGCGGAUUCACUAAACAUAUUGUGCUGUUUUCAGACGAAAUAACAAAUGAAAAUCUCUUCUGAAAUAAUAA